rnacentral:rRNA from 1 species
AAGCUCAAAUUUAAAAUCUGGCGGUCUUUGACUGUCCGAGUUGUAAUCUAGAGAAGCAUUAUCCGCGCUGGACCGUGUACAAGUCUCCUGGAAUGGAGCGUCAUAGAGGGUGAGAAUCCCGUCUUUGACACGGACUGCCAGGGCUUUGUGAUGUGCUCUCAAAGAGUCGAGUUGUUUGGGAAUGCAGCUCAAAAUGGGUGGUAAAUUCCAUCUAAAGCUAAAUAUUGGCGAGAGACCGAUAGCGAACAAGUACCGUGAGGGAAAGAUGAAAAGAACUUUGGAAAGAGAGUUAAACAGUACGUGAAAUUGCUGAAAGGGAAACGCUUGAAGUCAGUCGCGUUGGCCAGGGAUCAACCUUGCUUUUUUGCUUGGCUUACUUCCUGGUUAAUGGGUCAGCAUCAAUUUUGACUGGUGGAAAAAGUUCAAGGGAAUGUGGCAUCUUCGGAUGUGUUAUAGACUUUGCUCGCAUACAUCAGUUGGGAUUGAGGAACUCAGCACGCCGCAAGGCCGGGUUUUUAACCACGUACGUGCUUAGGAUGCUGGCAUAAUGGCUUUAAUCGACCCGUCUUGAAACACGGACCAAGGAGUCUAACAUGCCUGCGAGUGUUUGGGUGGAAAACCCGAGCGCGUAAUGAAAGUGAAAGUUGAGAUCCCUGUCGUGGGGAGCAUCGACGCCCGGAUCUGACCUUUUGUGACGAUUCCGCGGUAGAGCAUGUAUGUUGGGACCCGAAAGAUGGUG